CCUACGGGAGGCAGCAGUGAGGAAUAUUGGGCAAUGGGCGAAAGCCUGACCCAGCAACGCCGCGUGGAGGAAGACGGCCUUCGGGUUGUAAACUCCUUUUGACGGGGAAGAGAGAGGACGGUACCCGUCGAAUAAGUCACGGCUAACUACGUGCCAGCAGCCGCGGUAAUACGUAGGUGACAAGCGUUAUCCGGAAUUACUGGGCGUAAAGCGCACGCAGGCGGCUGAUUAAGUCUGACGUGAAAUCUCCCGGCUUAACUGGGAGGGGUCGUUGGAAACUGAUUGGCUUGAGGUGGUGAGAGGGGUGUGGAAUUCCCGGUGUAGUGGUGGAAUGCGUAGAUAUCGGGAGGAACACCAGAGGCGAAAGCGGCACCCUGGCACUGACCUGACGCUCAUGUGCGAAAGCGUGGGGAGCAAACGGGAUUAGAUACCCCGGUAGUCCACGCCGUAAACGAUGAGUACUAGGUGUGGGUGGAGUCAAAUCCAUCUGUGCCGAAGCAAACGCGCUAAGUACUCCGCCUGGGGAGUACGGCCGCAAGGCUAAAACUCAAAUGAAUUGACGG
rnacentral:rRNA from 1 species